AUCCCCAGCCUCUCUUCCCUCCCUGGAGGGUGGGGAGUGGGACCCCAGGUUCCUAGCUUCUCAUUGCAUGGGUGGUUCCUCCGGUCUUGAAGCUAUUUAGGGGGCAUCAGUGUCAUUUCAUUAGCGUAAACCCAGAGUCUUGCUCUGUCACCAGGCUGGAGUGCAGUGGUGAGAUCUCGGCUGACUGCAACCUCUACCUCCCAGUUUCAAGCAGUUCUCCUGCCUCAGCCUCCCGAGUAGCUGGGACUACAGGUAGAGACACUUUUGACUUGAUCUCUGCAGUCCUCAACAUGGAAAUUUCUUUUAGAAUGUAAUAAAUGCUUAAAGAAGAAUUAUACUGUGAGUAGAACAGCAUGCAGCCUGGCACUUAGCAAGUGAUCGAGAAAUAAUUCAUGAGUGAAUGAAUGAACAGAUGACAGAUGUAACCAAAAAUCAAAACUAAAAUCACUUCUGAAGUCGAGGAUGCACUUCUCAAUGGUGUGAACUUUAAAAGGUCAAAAAGUAAAUAUGUCCUUAUUUGGAAAAUAAGACAUGUUUCUUGUGAGGAAUAUUGGCCGAUCCAGAAAAAAAUAUAAAGAAGAAAAGAAAACAGCCAGAAAUCUCAGCAACUGGUGUCACUUUAUAAUAAGUAGCGUGUACUCGCAGAGAUGAAUUCUGAGGAACUGAGGUCUCCUGCCAACAGCCAGCAUCAACUUGCCAGUCUUGUGAGUGAAUCAUCCUGGAAAUGGAUUCUUCAGCCACAAUCAAGCCUUCAGAUGACGGUAGCCCUGGCUGAGAGCUUGACUGCAACUGUGUGAGUGAUCCUAAGCCAGAACCACCAGCCAAGCCACUCACAACUUCCUGACCCACAGACACUGUAAUAGAUGUUUAUUGUUGUUUUAAGCUGCUAA
ensembl:lncRNA novel transcript